AGAACGAACGCUGGCGGCGUGCCUAACACAUGCAAGUCGAACGAGACCGCUGACUUCGGUUGGCGCGUCUAGUGGCGCACGGGUGCGUAACGCGUGGGAAUCUGCCCUUGGGUUCGGGAUAACAGUUGGAAACGACUGCUAAUACCGGAUGAUGUCUUCGGACCAAAGAUUUAUCGCCCAGGGAUGAGCCCGCGUCGGAUUAGCUAGUUGGUGGGUAAAAGCCUACCAAGGCAACGAUCCGUAGCUGGUCUGAGAGGAUGAUCAGCCACACUGGGACUGAGACACGGCCAGACUCCGUACGGGAGCAGCAGGUGGGGAAUAGUUGGAACAAGUGGGACGAAAGCCGUAGAUCCAGCAAUGACCGCGUGAGUGAUGAAGGUCCGUUAGGGUUAGUAAAGUCUUCGUUUUUAACCCGGGAUAGAUAAUGACUAGGUACCGGAGAAGUAACGCCCGACUAACCGUCCGU
rnacentral:rRNA from 1 species